rnacentral:tRNA from 1 species
AGUCUUAUAUUCAAUAAAAAUGAUUUAAAAUUGCAAAUUUUAAGGAGUAAGAAAAUUACUAAGGCUU